CUGUGCUGUCUCUGCUCUGCUACCCAGCGCGCAGCUUAAUAAGACCGGUGCCCCAGUCUCAUUAAGUAGCGUGCAAGUGCGGGGGAGCAGAGCAGAGACAGCACAGGU